rnacentral:rRNA from 1 species
AGUCGAGCGGAUGAGUGGAGCUUGCUCCAUGAUUCAGCGGCGGACGGGUGAGUAAUGCCUAGGAAUCUGCCUGGUAGUGGGGGACAACGUUUCGAAAGGAACGCUAAUACCGCAUACGUCCUACGGGAGAAAGCAGGGGACCUUCGGGCCUUGCGCUAUCAGAUGAGCCUAGGUCGGAUUAGCUAGUUGGUGGGGUAAAGGCCUACCAAGGCGACGAUCCGUAACUGGUCUGAGAGGAUGAUCAGUCACACUGGAACUGAGACACGGUCCAGACUCCUACGGGAGGCAGCAGUGGGGAAUAUUGGACAAUGGGCGAAAGCCUGAUCCAGCCAUGCCGCGUGUGUGAAGAAGGUCUUCGGAUUGUAAAGCACUUUAAGUUGGGAGGAAGGGCAGUAAGUUAAUACCUUGCUGUUUUGACGUUACCAACAGAAUAAGCACCGGCUAACUUCGUGCCAGCAGCCGCGGUAAUACGAAGGGUGCAAGCGUUAAUCGGAAUUACUGGGCGUAAAGCGCGCGUAGGUGGUUUGGUAAGAUGGAUGUGAAAUCCCCGGGCUCAACCUGGGAACUGCAUCCAUAACUGCCUGACUAGAGUACGGUAGAGGGUGGUGGAAUUUCCUGUGUAGCGGUGAAAU